rnacentral:rRNA from 1 species
GAUGAACGCUGGCGGCGUGCCUAAUACAUGCAAGUCGAGCGAACAGACGAGGAGCUUGCUCCUCUGACGUUAGCGGCGGACGGGUGAGUAACACGUGGAUAACCUACCUAUAAGACUGGGAUAACUUCGGGAAACCGGAGCUAAUACCGGAUAAUAUAUUGAACCGCAUGGUUCAAUAGUGAAAGACGGUUUUGCUGUCACUUAUAGAUGGAUCCGCGCCGCAUUAGCUAGUUGGUAAGGUAACGGCUUACCAAGGCAACGAUGCGUAGCCGACCUGAGAGGAUGAUCGGCCACAGUGGAACUGAGACACGGCCCAGACUCCGACGGGGGGCAGAAGUGGGGAAUCUUGGACAAGGGGCGAAAUCCGGACGCAGCACCGCCGCGGGAGGGAAAAAGGUCUUCGGAUCGUAAAACUCUUUUAUGGGGAAAGAAAAGAAGUAGAUGUAUAUAUCCCUGUUUGGACGGUACCUAAAAAAAAAACACCGGCUAACUUCGUG